CCCGAAAGAUCGAAUGGGGAGAUUCACCGUCAGCGCGGUUGGCUCUCGCCGCGGGCUUGAUGCCCGGCCGGCGGGCGGGUACCUUCACGGGUCCCGUUCGUCGGCGCACUCGUCCGUGCGGAUGUCCGGCCACGUCGGCGUGCACUUCUCCCCUAGUAAAACGUCGCGACCCGCUGGGUGUCGGUCUACGGGCCCGUGCCAUUAGGCUGUCGCGGGCGCUUCACGGCGCCCGUUGUCAGAGGCGCGGGAUAUCCCCGACCGACCGCCCGGCGGUACACGCACGGUAUCGAGCCGCAAACUGACAUUGUCGAACUGCGUUCAGACCCGUCGCAAGCUCGCCAGGAACUUUGGUGUUGCGGACCUAUCGCCGUCCCCGAAGCCGGGCAGCUGUUGGCAGGCGGUGCUCUCGAACAGGCUCAGUAGCACUUUUGAACCUCGGUUCAUGCGAUACCGGUCGGCGACGCUAUUGCUUUGGGUACUUUCACGACCCGUCUUGAAACACGGACCAAGGAGUCUAACAUGUACGCGAGUCAUUGGGAUCAUUUGAAACCCAAAGGCGCAUUGAAAGAGAAGGUCGGCCCCCCACCGACCGAGGGAGGAUGGGCUGCGUCACGACGAGGCCCCGCACUCCCGGGGCGUCUCGUACUCAUCACGAGUUGAGGCGCACCCAGAGAGUACACGUUGGGACCCAAAAGAUGGUGAACUAUGCCUGGUCAGGACG
rnacentral:rRNA from 1 species